CUUUCAUAAAUUCAACUUGUUACACCCCAAUGGCUGUAAAAAGACAACUGGUCUUGUGCUUUCCUGAUUACUAAGCUUAGUGGAGCUAAACUCAGACAAGCAAAUGACUGCUAACUGGGAAGUGUGUGACUGGACAGCCACAGAAACCAUGGGCUGGGGAAGUAGGGUAGUGCUUGCAAAGCCUGCAGAUCUUCAACCUUUUAGGCUGUUUUUAUAUAUACUCCCAAUAAAAAAUGCAUGUUUUCAUUAGGUUGGAAGUGUUGGGUUUUUUUUUUUUUUUUAGCGUGUUCACCAUUUUUUAUCUAGAUUUCCCCAAUUGUUCAGAAAUGUGUAUUGGGUGUGUCUGGAUAUUGCUUCCCUACUCUGUUGUUCCAACAAACUAGUUAUAAACUGUAUCUAAGCAAAAUAGUUGCAAGGCAGUUGCUCUACCUGUCCACUAGGUGAUGCUGUGGGAUUAGUAUUUCUUGCAAUGGGUUUCACCAAGAUCUUUGCUUAUUAUGGUACUUUAUUGAAUGUAUUAAUAUGAUUAUACUUUGCAUUCAAAUGUAAGCUUAAAAUAAUGUUUUUGGUUGUCAUACCUCUACACUAUUAACACAUACACACACACAAUUUAAAAGGCAUAUACCCAUAGGUACCACAUAAUAUUAUGUGUAUAUCCCUUUUCUGUGGAAUCGAUAUGUUAGCAAUAGACAAGCAUUAGCAAGUCGGUUUUGUACCUUUUUUAUUUUCUGAAAACAUGACUGAUGUUUAAAUUCCUCUUGUAUCACAGUAAAUGCAAGAUAUUCACUGAAUUUAACCCCUUAAGGACAGAGUCAAUUGUCUGUUCUGAACCCAAACAAAACCUAGAAUGUGAGCUAUAUGUCUGUUAAACCAUAAUUUACCUCCUUCAUAAGUGCACCCACACUUAUUAUAUAUCAUUUUGUUCAGGACAAACAGGCAUUUCAUAUCACAUCAAAUAUUUUUUAUUUGGAACGCAAUUUAAUAUGAAAUACUAGAUUGACUGCAGG